rnacentral:rRNA from 1 species
GACGAACGCUGGCGGCGUGCCUAAUACAUGCAAGUAGAACGCUGAAGCGAGGAGCUUGCUCUUCUUGGAUAAGUUGCGAAUGGGUGAGUAACGCGUAGGUAACCUGCCUUGUAGAGGGGGAUAACUAUUGGAAACGAUAGCUAAUACCGCAUAACAAUGGAUGACACAUGUCAUUUGUUUGUAAGGGGCAAUUGCUCCACUACAAGAUGGACCUGCGUUGUAUUAGGUAGUAGGUGAGGCACUGGCUCACCUAGGCGACGAUACAUAGCCGACCUGAGAGGGUGAUCGGCCACACUGGGAGUGUGACACGGCCCAGACGCCUUCGGGAGGGAGCAGUAGUGAAUCUGGGGCAAUGGGUGCAACCCUGACCGAGCAACGCCGCGUGAGUGAAGAAGGUUUUCGGAUCGGAAAGCUCUGUUGUAAGUCAAGAACGGGUGUGAGAGUGGAAAGUUCAGACUGUGACGGUAGCUUACCAGAAAGCGACGGCUAACUACGUG